GAACCCUACCUGAGCCUGGUGGCAGCGGUGAGAGCGGGGAUCCUGAAAUCUGUAUGGGGAGACUGGCUCAGGAGGACUUACUGCACUUUGGGAGCAAAGAUCUCCAAGCCAGAGUAGCGCAUGGUGGGGGAGAGCCGCACUCUGGGAACCUCCCUGCCGGGGGCGCUGUUCUCUUCUGGCUCACUGUAGCCGUUUGGCCCCUCCGCCUUCAUCGGAGACACAGAGAAGAUGGACGACAUCCCUGCAACGUGCCAGAGUGUGUGCAGACCUGUUCACACUGGCCGUAGAGGUCGAUGAAGGGGUAACAGGGUGAGGGGAUGUCCUGUGCUGCCACACCCUGGUCCAUGCCAUUGACAAAGAGGUGGAGACAACUGUUGGCGUCCACCAGCAGACCCAACACCGUCCCCUCUGGACAAGUGUCCAGAUUAGGACCAUAGUUCUCACAAAUCUGAGCAGGAGAGCAGAACAGUUGUGAGAGGAAAAACUUCAGUGACACAAGAUUUUGUGCCUUUGAGUGUGUGUGUGUGUAUACACAUACCUUUAGUGAGUUGUGGAAGACAGAGUCUCUCUGCAGCAGCCAGGCAGAGCGUUUCAGACAGCACGCUGUGGAGGGGAAAUUGAGCCGGUCGGGGGAGUGACCUAUUACUCCCAACGACAGCGAUGACGUCCACAACGGAUUUAGACGGUCGAUCUGAAACUGGUAACCAAACAGAAGGUGGUGAUACACUGAUACUGAGAUGAAUUACUUUUCUUGAUCCUAAUAAUGCUUUUUUCUCUCUCCGUCCUUUUUAAAAGGAAGUCAAAGUGUGUCGUACCUGGAAGAGCUGCUGGCGAGCGAGCGGCUCCGCGGUGACCAGCAGGCCCUGGUUGUAGCUCGACACCCUGGCUGCCGUCAGGUUCUGGUUUGACAGCUGGAUAUUUUUGCCGUGGUUUUCCAGAAAAGCCAUGACGCUCUCUGACGUCAGUGACGGCUCCUUGACGCUCUCCAUGUCCUCCAUCAGUGAAGAGCUGACGAUGGACACAGCGGUUAUACGCCCGUACAGGUCCAACACUGCGUACACAUUCUGCAAGAAGCGAGAGAACAGUGUUGAACGGCAGCGGGGAGGACAGAGUACCGCGACUCAGCACGCAGAUGUGGAUCAUUUUAAAUAUGUGAGACUGUGUGUGUACCUUGGACACCGCAGUAGCAGCAGGUCCCAUGUCUUCUCCGUCAAUGAAGAUGUGCAUGGUGUCAUCGCUGCACCUCUUCACACCCACACGGUUCCCAACCUGGAAGCGCACAUCAAGUCUCAACAUCUACUGUUUGCGUUUCACUUGACUGAGACGAAACAUUCAACAGUUUGUAACAAAGGAAGAAUAAAAUAAUUGAACAAUA